GCGGAUGUGGCGAAAUUGGUAGACGCACUAGACUUAGGAUCUAGCGCCGCAAGGUGUGUGGGUUCGAGUCCCUCCAUCCGCA
rnacentral:tRNA from 1 species